CCCAAUGUGGAAUUCGCCCUUCCUACGGGUGGCUGCAGUGGGGAAUAUUGGACAAUGGGGGAAACCCUGAUCCAGCGACGCCGCGUGAGUGAAGAAGUAUUUCGGUAUGUAAAGCUCUAUCAGCAGGGAAGAAAAUGACGGUACCUGACUAAGAAGCCCCGGCUAACUACGUGCCAGCAGCCGCGGUAAUACGUAGGGGGCAAGCGUUAUCCGGAUUUACUGGGUGUAAAGGGAGCGUAGACGGCACUGCAAGUCUGGAGUGAAAGCCCGGGGCUCAACCCCGGGACUGCUUUGGAAACUGUGGUGCUAGAGUGCAGGAGAGGUAAGUGGAAUUCCUAGUGUAGCGGUGAAAUGCGUAGAUAUUAGGAGGAACACCAGUGGCGAAGGCGGCUUACUGGACUGUAACUGACGUUGAGGCUCGAAAGCGUGGGGAGCAAACAGGAUUAGAUACCCCAGUAGUCAAGGGCGAAUUCCACAGUG
rnacentral:rRNA from 1 species